UAGAGUUGUGCAUCAUUGUGUGUUGUAAAAAAAACACAUCUCCGCUUCCUUGCGUUCACUAGCAUAUAAAUGUCAGCCAUUUUGAAGCACAUACAUAUCAAGUGCAGAUUGGAGCUGUAUGUCCACCAUGACAGUCACAAUGAUCCCCCCCCCUCAUUCUCUUCUCUCCCCUACACACAUGCCACCGUGUCUCUGCUAAAGCUGGGGAGAGAGAAUAAAACAGGAGACAACAUUUAAAGCACCAGAGCUCAAUCUAGACACAUAUGAAGUAGGGAUGUGUGAGCCGGCAUCCACGGAUCAUCCACGGAUUCCCCACAGCCCCCCAAGGGGCAGCGACAAGGCAAGCGGAGGGUUAAAGGGAGCAAGAGGCGAGUCCUAGAGCUGCCUGGAAGGCAUUGUACUGGAAGAGAACCCACCCGCCACCAGCCCCAACACUGGAGAGGAGACUUGGCUUUUCCUUCUUCCUGGCGUCAUGUCAGAUCUGGGACAUUCACAUUGCCUGGAUUGAAGCACUUAUAAAAUACAUGCCAGGUUGAUCAGAAGAGUAUUAUACUUCCUUUCUUCUAGCAGACCAGUAUACAGCAAUUACGGCUGGGGAAGCAAGAUUCUGUGCCGCAACAUGCAAACUGAGAUGGGAGCCGUUGCUUAAUUGUAAUUGAGACCUCUGUAUGUAUAUGUUUUGAUACUCUGUUACCCAGUCCUGUUAUUGAUUUUAUUUUACUUUAAUUUUAUUUUCCAUUUUAUUUUUUUAUUGCUGGUCAUUGACUGUAAUAAUAAAUUCAUUCAUUCAUUCA